CCAGUCGGCUGGGCGGCCGCUCUCGUCACGUGUCGAAAGACGGCGAGGGAGGAAAGUCCGGGCUCCACGGAGAAACGGUGCCGGAUAACGUCCGGCGGGGGCGACCCCAGGGACAGUGCCACAGAGAACAGACCGCCUUCCAUGCGGCACCGGGCGGGUUUCCCGCCGGGUGUCGAUCCCAUGGGAGGUAAGGGUGAAACGGUGGGGUAAGAGCCCACCGCGCCGCUGGCAACAGGGGCGGCAGGGCAAACCCCACCGGGAGCAAGACCGAAUAGGAACGACGCGGCGGGAAACCGCCAGCCCUCUCCGGGCCGGUCGUUCGGGUGGGUUGCUAGAGGCGCCGCGCGAGCGGCGUCCCAGAGGAAUGGUCGCCGCCCAGCGCAAGCUGGUGCACAGAACCCGGCUUAUAGGCCGACUGGUAUU
rnacentral:RNase_P_RNA from 1 species